rnacentral:rRNA from 1 species
GCACGUCCUCCUGGUCUUCGGAGCAGGAGGGAGUGGCGGACGGGUGAGUAACACGUGGGUACCUACCUUGAGGUGGGGAAUACCAAUGAGAAAUCGUUGACAAUUCCGCAUAUGCUCGCGUGGCGAGCAAAGCUUCUCGAAUUCGAGAGGUGCCUCGAGAUGGGCCUGCGCCCGAUUAGCUAGUUGGUAGGGUAAUGGCCUACCAAGGCGACGAUCGAUAGCUGGUCUGAGAGGAUGAUCAGCCACACUGGGACUGAGACACGGCCCAUACUCCUACGGGAGGCAGCAGUGGGGAAUAUUGGACAAUGGGCGCAAGCCUGAUCCAGCAAUGCCGCGUGUGUGAAGAAGGCCUUCGGGUUGUAAAGCACUUUUAGUGGGGAUGAAAAGCUCAGGGCUAACACCUCUGGGUCUUGACCUAACCCAAAGAAAAAGCACCGGCUAACUCUGUGCCAGCAGCCGCGGUAAU